rnacentral:rRNA from 1 species
GACGAACGCUGGCGGCGUGCUUAACACAUGCAAGUCGAACGGAAAGGCCCUGCUUUUGUGGGGUGCUCGAGUGGCGAACGGGUGAGUAACACGUGAGUAACCUGCCCUUGACUUUGGGAUAACUUCAGGAAACUGGGGCUAAUACCGGAUAGGAGCUCCUGCUGCAUGGUGGGGGUUGGAAAGUUUCGGCGGUUGGGGAUGGACUCGCGGCUUAUCAGCUUGUUGGUGGGGUAGUGGCUUACCAAGGCUUUGACGGGUAGCCGGCCUGAGAGGGUGACCGGCCACAUUGGGACUGAGAUACGGCCCAGACUCCUACGGGAGGCAGCAGUGGGGAAUAUUGCACAAUGGGCGGAAGCCUGAUGCAGCAACGCCGCGUGCGGGAUGACGGCCUUCGGGUUGUAAACCGCUUUCGCCUGUGAUGAAGCGUGAGUGACGGUAAUGGGUAAAGAAGCACCGGCUAACUACGUGCCAGCAGCCGCGGUGAUACGUAGGGUGCGAGCGUUGUCCGGAUUUAUUGGGCGUAAAGGGCUCGUAGGUGGUUGAUCGCGUCGGAAGUGUAAUCUUGGGGCUUAACCCUGAGCGUGCUUUCGAUACGGGUUGACUUGAGGAAGGUAGGGGAGAAUGGAAUUCCUGGUGGAGCGGUGGAAUGCGCAGAUAUCAGGAGGAACACCAGUGGCGAAGGCGGUUCUCUGGGCCUUUCCUGACGCUGAGGAGCGAAAGCGUGGGGAGCGAACAGGCUUAGAUACCCUGGUAGUCCACGCUGUAAACGGUGGGUACUAGGUGUGGGGUCCAUUCCACGGGUUCCGUGCCGUAGCUAACGCUGUAAGUACCCCGCCUGGGGAGUACGGCCGCAAGGCUAAAACUCAAAGGAAUUGACGGGGCCCCGCACAAGCGGCGGAGCAUGCGGAUUAAUUCGAUGCAACGCGUAGAACCUUACCUGGGUUUGACAUGGAUCGGGAGUGCUCAGAGAUGGGUGUGCCUCUUUUGGGGUCGGUUCACAGGUGGUGCAUGGCUGUCGUCAGCUCGUGUCGUGAGAUGUUGGGUUAAGUCCCGCAACGAGCGCAACCCUUGUUCACUGUUGCCAGCACGUUAUGGUGGGGACUCAGUGGAGACCGCCGGGGUCAACUCGGAGGAAGGUGGGGAUGACGUCAAGUCAUCAUGCCCCUUAUGUCCAGGGCUUCACGCAUGCUACAAUGGCUGGUACAGAGAGUGGCGAGCCUGUGAGGGUGAGCGAAUCUCGGAAAGCCGGUCUCAGUUCGGAUUGGGGUCUGCAACUCGACCUCAUGAAGUCGGAGUCGCUAGUAAUCGCAGAUCAGCAACGCUGCGGUGAAUACGUUCCCGGGGCU